rnacentral:tRNA from 1 species
GGCUUGGUGGUCUAGAGGUAUGAUUCCUUCUUAGGGUGGAGGAGGUCCCGAGUUCAAUUCUCGGCCAAGCCC